GUCUGACAUGGCCCGACGGUGGCAAGUCUUGCCCCAACGUAUGGCCGAGGUGCGAUGAC
rfam:Pseudomonas fluorescens HK44 Contig15, whole genome shotgun sequence.